CACGUAGGGCGCAAGCGUUGUCCGGAAUUAUUGGGCGUAAAGAGCUCGUAGGCGGUCUGUUGCGUCCGCUGUGAAAACUCGGGGCUUAACCCCGAGCCUGCAGUGGAUACGGGCAGACUAGAGGUAGGUAGGGGAGAAUGGAAUUCCCGGUGUAGCGGUGAAAUGCGCAGAUAUCAGGAGGAACACCGGUGGCGAAGGCGGGUCUCUGGGCCGAUACUGACGCUGAGGUGCGAAAGCGUGGGGAGCAAACAGG
rnacentral:rRNA from 1 species